GGCUGCGCGCGCAUCAUUGCUCUGUUCACGUAUCACCACCAUUUGUCCUAACCAAUAACAAAGUCCUUCCUUCGAAAUAUAAGAUGCAAGUUUCCAAAUAAUCCAUUUAUAAUGAUUUUCAAUCCAAUCUCUGGGAAGAAGACUUGGAUCAACUCCUGGACUUGCAAGAAAGGAUCGUUUAAUUUCUGAGAUUCCUAAAUAAUCAUCUUUAUCUGGUAUAAGAUAGCCACCAUCUUCCAUCUUCAAACUACCUGAAUUUCUGUGAAUAAUUUUUUCUCUAUACAGAAUAUAAAUAAUUAUCAUUAUAUGGAAAAUAUGAAAUAAGAAAAUAAAUAUAUCAAGAGGAGUGCUUUUAUUUUACCCAUAGAAAUCAAUGCAUCGGAAUUUAAAUGACGGAGCUGUGGUAGAUGUGAUUGUUAAUAUUUCUGGCAAUAUACCUCGAUUGAUAAGCUAAAUAAAAAAAAAUUGUUAAGC